UAUGAUCGUCGAACAUACCAGGACUUUGGCAGACGACGACCAGUCACCGUCAAAGACCUCAAAAUCAUGGUGCAACAAUGGGCAGAUGAAGAAGAUAAAGAGCGAGAACGAUUCGGCUCUCAUCACAACUGUGGGCACGAAAAUAACAGCCAUGAGCAGGACAGGAACCGAAACAACGAUACUCGAAACAAUUACUCGAGCAACCAAAAUCGCAAACGCAAACUGGACAACACUGUUGCUUCCAUGACCAACUCAGGAAAGAAGGGAUCCCGCAAACACGAUGAUGAACAAAGCUUCACCGAACUACUCAAAAAAUAAUGCCCAUGGCACCCACACAGCAAACACUCAGCAAUAGACUGCUAUAGCAUUCGCCGCGUAAUGCAAGCUCUACCCGCACCACCACCUCCC
rnacentral:lncRNA from 1 species